GAUGAACGCUGGCGGCGUGCCUAAUACAUGCAAGUCGAGCGAAUGGAUUAAGAGCUUGCUCUUAUGAAGUUAGCGGCGGACGGGUGAGUAACACGUGGGUAACCUGCCCAUAAGACUGGGAUAACUCCGGGAAACCGGGGCUAAUACCGGAUAACAUUUUGAACCGCAUGGUUCGAAAUUGAAAGGCGGCUUCGGAUGUCACUUAUGGAUGGACCCGCGUCGCAUUAGCUAGGUGGUGAGGUAACGGCUCACCAAGGCAACGAUGCGUAGCCGACCUGAGAGGGUGAUCGGCCACACUGGGACUGAGACACGGCCCAGACUCCUACGGGAGGCAGCAGUAGGGAAUCUUCCGCAAUGGACGAAAGUCUGACGGAGCAACGCCGCGUGAGUGAUGAAGGCUUUCGGGUCGUAAAACUCUGUUGUUAGGGAAGAACAAGUGCUAGUUGAAUAAGCUGGCACCUUGACGGUACCUAACCAGAAAGCCACGGCUAACUACGUGCCAGCAGCCGCCGUAA
rnacentral:rRNA from 1 species